rnacentral:rRNA from 1 species
AUUGAACGCUGGCGGCAGGCCUAACACAUGCAAGUCGAGCGGAUGAAGGGAGCUUGCUCCUGGAUUCAGCGGCGGACGGGUGAGUAAUGCCUAGGAAUCUGCCUGGUAGUGGGGGAUAACGUCCGGAAACGGGCGCUAAUACCGCAUACGUCCUGAGGGAGAAAGUGGGGGAUCUUCGGACCUCACGCUAUCAGAUGAGCCUAGGUCGGAUUAGCUAGUUGGUGGGGUAAAGGCCUACCAAGGCGACGAUCCGUAACUGGUCUGAGAGGAUGAUCAGUCACACUGGAACUGAGACACGGUCCAGACUCCUACGGGAGGCAGCAGUGGGGAAUAUUGGACAUAGGGCGAAAGCCUGCUCCAGCCAUGCCGCGUGGUUGAAGAAGGUCUUCGGAUUGUAAAGCACUUUAAGUUGGGAGGAAGGGCAGUAAGUUAAUACCUUGCUGUUUUGACGUUACCAACAGAAUAAGCACCGGCUAACUUCGUG